GGAAUCUUCCGCAAUGGACGAAAGUCUGACGGAGCAACGCCGCGUGAGUGAUGAAGGCUUUCGGGUCGUAAAACUCUGUUGUUAGGGAAGAACAAGUACAAGAGUAACUGCUUGUACCUUGACGGUACCUAACCAGAAAGCCACGGCUAACUACGUGCCAGCAGCCGCGGUAAUACGUAGGUGGCAAGCGUUAUCCGGAAUUAUUGGGCGUAAAGCGCGCGCAGGCGGUUUCUUAAGUCUGAUGUGAAAGCCCACGGCUCAACCGUGGAGGGUCAUUGGAAACUGGGGAACUUGAGUGCAGAAGAGAAAAGCGGAAUUCCACGUGUAGCGGUGAAAUGCGUAGAGAUGUGGAGGAACACCAGUGGCGAAGGCGGCUUUUUGGUCUGUGACUGACGCUGAGGCGCGAAAGCGUGGGGAGCAAACAGGAUUAGAUACCCUUG
rnacentral:rRNA from 1 species